rnacentral:rRNA from 1 species
AUAUCAAUAAGCGGAGGAAAAGAAACUAACAAGGAUUCCCCUAGUAACGGCGAGUGAAGCGGGAAAAGCUCAAAUUUAAAAUCUGACGUCGAUAGGCGUCCGAGUUGUAAGCUAGAGAGGUGUUUUCGGUGGGCGCCCGGGUAUAAGUCCUCUGGAACUGGGCAUCAUAGAGGGUGAGAAUCCCGUCUUUGACCUGGAGCAGCCUACUGUGUGAUACGCCUUCAAAGAGUCGGUUUGUUUGGGAAUGCAGACCAAAAUGGGUGGUAAAUUCCAUCUAAAGCUAAAUACAGGCGAGAGACCGAUAGCGCACAAGUA